AUUGAACGCUGGCGGCAUGCUUUACACAUGCAAGUCGAACGGCAGCGCGGGCUUCGGCCUGGCGGCGAGUGGCGAACGGGUGAGUAAUGCAUCGGAACGUGCCCAGUAGUGGGGGAUAGCCCGGCGAAAGCCGGAUUAAUACCGCAUACGACCUGAGGGUGAAAGCGGGGGACCGAAAGGCCUCGCGCUAUUGGAGCGGCCGAUGUCGGAUUAGCUAGUUGGUGGGGUAAAGGCUUACCAAGGCGACGAUCCGUAGCUGGUCUGAGAGGACGACCAGCCACACUGGGACUGAGACACGGCCCAGACUCCUACGGGAGGCAGCAGUGGGGAAUUUUGGACAAUGAGGGCAACCCUGAUCCAGCCAUGCCGCGUGCGGGAAGAAGGCCUUCGGGUUGUAAACCGCUUUUGUUCGGGAAGAAAUCCUCUGGGCUAAUACCCCGGGGGGAUGACGGUACCGGAAGAAUAAGCACCGGCUAACUACGU
rnacentral:rRNA from 1 species